rfam:Trichosporon asahii var. asahii CBS 8904 unplaced genomic scaffold scaffold00154, whole genome shotgun sequence.
GGUCUGAUCGUAUAACGGUUAGUACACAAGAUUCUGACUUCCUCUGCUGUCGUUCUUGUAAUCUGGGUUCGAUUCCCAGUCGGACCU